rnacentral:rRNA from 1 species
UUCGUUUCCAGAUUUACGUAUUGCUCGCGAAAGCGCCAGCUAAUACCGCAUACGCCCUUCGAGGAAAGCGGGGGACCUUCGGGCCUCGCACUAAUGCGACGGCCGAUAUCGGAUUAGCUAGUUGGUGGGGUAACGGCUCACCAAGGCGACGAUCCGUAGCUGGUUUGAGAGGACGACCAACCACACUGGGACUGAGACACAGCCCAGACUCCUACGGGAGGCAGCAGUGGGGAAUUUUGGACAAUGGGGAAACCUGAUCCAGCCAUCCCGCGUGUGCGAUGAAGGCCUUCGGGUUGUAAAGCACUUUUGGCAGGAAAGAAACGGCACGGGAUAAUACCCCGUGCAACUGACCAGUACCUGCAGAAUAAGCACCGGCCCCAACUACGUGCCAGCAGCCGCGGUAAUACGUAGGGUGCAAGCGUUAAUCGGAAUUACUGGGCGUAAAGCGUGCGCAGGCGGUUCCGGAAAGAAAAGAUGUGAAAUCCCAGAGCUUAACUUUGGAACUGCAUUUUUGCUACCGAGCUAGAGUGUGUCAGAGGAGGUGGAAUUCCGCGUGUAGCAGUGAAAUGCGUAGAUAUGCGGAAGACACACCGAUGGCGAAGGCAACCUGGGAUAACACUGACGCUCAUGCACGAAAGCGUGGGGAGCAAACAGGAUUGAAUACCCUGGUAGUCCACGCCCUAAACGAUUCAACUAGCUGUUGGGGCCUUCGGGCCUUGGUAGCGCAACUAACGCGUGAAGUUGACCGCCUGGGAAGUACGGUCGCAAGAUUAAAACUCAAAGGAAUUGACGGGGACCCGCACAAGCCGGUGGAUGAUGUGGAUUAAUUCGAUGCAACGCGAAAAACCUUACCUACCCUUGACAUGUCUGGAAUCCCGGGGUUGGGAGUGCUCGCAAGAGAACCGGAACACAGGUGCUGCAUGGCUGUCGUCAGCUCGUGUCGUGAGAUGUUGGGUUAAGUCCGCAACGAGCGCAACCCUUGUCAUUGGUUGCUACGAAAGGGCACUCUAAUGAGACUGCCGGUGACAAACCGGAGGAAGGUGGGGAUGACGUCAAGUCCUCAUGGCCCUUAUGGGUAGGGCUUCACACGUCAUACAAUGGUCGGGACAGAGGGUCGCCAACCCGCGAGGGCCAAUCCCAGAAACCGAUCGUAGUCUGGAUCAUGAUCUGCAACUCGACUGCGUGAAGUCGGAAUCGCUGAUAAUCGCGGAUCAGCAUGUCGCGGUGAAUACGUUCCCGGGUCUUGUACACACCGCCCGUCACACCAUGGGAGUGGGUUUUACCAGAAGUAGUUAGCCUAACCGUAAGGAGGGCGAUUACCACGGUAGGAUUCAUGACUGGGGUGAAGUCGUAACAAGGUAA